GAUCAUGGCUCAGAGUGAACGCUGGCGGCGUGCUUAACACAUGCAAGUCGAACGGUAACAGGAACUAGCUUGCUAGUUUGCUGACGAGUGGCGCACGGGUGAGUAAUAUAUAGUUAAUGUACCCCAAAGACUGGGAUAGCCACUGGAAACGGUGAUUAAUACUAGAUACACCUCUUUAAUAUAAGUUAGAGAGGGAAAUGUUUUUUCGCUUUGGGAUCAGACUAUAUCCUAUCAGUUAGUUGGUGAGGUAAUGGCUCACCAAGGCAAUGACGGGUAGCGGUUCUGAGAGGAUGAUCCGCCACACUGGUACUGAGACACGGACCAGACUCCUACGGGAGGCAGCAGUGAGGAAUAUUGCACAAUGGGGGGAACCCUGAUGCAGCAACGCCGCGUGGAGGAUGACGCAUUUCGGUGUGUAAACUCCUUUUAUAUGUCAAGAAAAUGACGGUAGCAUAUGAAUAAGCACCGGCUAACUCCGUG
rnacentral:rRNA from 1 species